UUUGCCUCCCAUUAUUCCUGAGAUGAAGACAUGACAGUUCUUGUGAAACAGCUUUAUGGCUUCUCCCAUGGCACACAUCAGGUUUGGUGUCUCACUCAAGGCUGCUUCCCAUAAAUACCGAAUGUUUUGCACUGGGCAUUGUAUUGCACGGAUAACAAGUGGACAGCUGCAACCCCAGAAUAUCAGAAGCUGGGUCAAUACACAAAACCCUGAAAGCUCCCCCGUGCAGAUAAGACGCCAAGAGAGUCCUGAAAUUAGGAGACGCUUUGGCAGGGAACGGUUUCCAGACAAUUACUUGCAGCCUCUGAAUCUGUUCCGACGAGAAUGUUCUACUCACCCCCUGCUGUUCGCUGAUCAUAUUUGCCUGAGGAUGACAGAACGAUUGCAGAUCCGGAAUCCGAAAUAUAGUUUAGAUUAAA